rnacentral:misc_RNA from 1 species
AACUUUCAGCAACGGAUCUCUUGGCUCUCGCAUCGAUGAAGAACGCAGCGAAAUGCGAUACGUAAUGUGAAUUGCAGAAUUCAGUGACUCAUCGAAUCUUUGAACGCACCUUGCGCCACUUGGAAUUCCGAAGGGCCCACCCGUUUGAGUGUCGUGAACCUCCUUCAACCUUUCUUGGUUUCUUAACCGGGGAAGGCUUGGACUUUGGGGGUCUUUCAUUGCUGGCCUCUUUGAAGCCAGCUCCUCCUAAAUGGAUUAGUGUGGUCUGCUUUGCCGAUCCUUGACGUGAUAAGAUGUUUCUACGUCUUGGGUUUCGCACUGUCGCUUUAGACCCCGCUUCUAACCGUCUUGCAUUCAAGACAGAGUUUUAAACCUUGACCUCAAAUCGGGUGAGACUACCCGCUGAACUUAAGCAUAUCAAUAAGCGGAGGUU